rnacentral:rRNA from 1 species
UACGAAGGGUGCAAGCGUUACUCGGAAUUACUGGGCGUAAAGGGUGCGUAGGUGGUUGUUUAAGUCUGCUGUGAAAGCCCCGGGCUCAACCUGGGAAUGGCAGUGGAUACUGGACAGCUAGAGUGCGGUAGAGGGUAGUGGAAUUCCCGGUGUAGCAGUGAAAUGCGUAGAGAUCGGGAGGAACACCAGUGGCGAAGGCGGCUACCUGGACCAGCACUGACACUGAAGCACGAAAGCGUGGGGGAGCAAACAGG